rnacentral:rRNA from 1 species
UACGAAGGGUGCAAGCGUUAAUCGGAAUUACUGGGCGUAAAGCGCGCGUAGGUGGUUCAGCAAGUUGGAUGUGAAAGCCCUGGGCUCAACCUGGGAACUGCAUCCAAAACUACUGAGCUAGAGUACGGUAGAGGGUAGUGGAAUUUCCGGUGUAGCGGUGAAAUGCGUAGAGAUCGGAAAGAACACCAGUGGCGAAGGCGACUCCCUGGCACCAUACUGACGCUGAGGCACGAAAGCGUGGGGAUCAAACAGGAUUAGAAACCCUUGUAGU